GACGAACGCUGGCGGCGUGCUUAAUACAUGCAAGUCAACGACUUUUAGAGUAGCAAUAUUCUAAAGGAAGUGGCGCACGGGUGAGUAACACGUAGGUAAUCUGCCUUCAGGACUGACACAACUCGUCGAAAGACGGGCUAAUAUCAGAUAAUACAGCGGCUCCGCAUGGAGACAGUUGUUAAAGUACAAGCGCCUGAAGAUGAGCCUGCGGUCCAUUAGCUAGUUGGUAGAGUAACAGCCUACCAAGGCAACGAUGGAUAGCUGGUCUGAGAGGAUGAUCAGCCACACUGGAACUGAGACACGGUCCAGACUCCUACGGGAGGCAGCAGUAAGGAAUAUUGCUCAAUGGCCGAAAGGCUGAAGCAGCAACGCCGCGUGAAGGAUGAAUGGCCUUUGGCCUGUAAACUUCUGUAAAAAGGGAAAACAAUACAAGGCAUGUCCUGAUUUGAUUGUACCUUUGAAGUAAGCCCCGGCUAACUACGUGCCAG
rnacentral:rRNA from 1 species